UUCCAGAACUCCACCGGGAUCUCGUCAGGCCCAGUCGCUCGACCCCUACUCAUCCUACACAAAGCCCCUAUAACCUCCUCCGCCCUAAUGCGCCUGCAGUUCCCAAGGUCCUUAUGUUGCUCUGAAUGCCCCAACUCUCCUAGCUCUAUGUUACGAUCCCCCUUUUCGUUAAGUAAGUCUCAAAAUUACGCCUGCCACCUCUGCUUGACU
rnacentral:lncRNA from 1 species